UACGAAGGGGGCUAGCGUUGCUCGGAAUUACUGGGCGUAAAGGGCGCGUAGGCGGGUCGUUAAGUUAGAGGUGAAAGCCCAGGGCUCAACCCUGGAAUUGCCUUUAAUACUGUCGACCUUGAGUAUGGCAGAGGUGUGUGGAACUCCGAGUGUAGAGGUGAAAUUCGUAGAUAUUCGGAAGAACACCAGUGGCGAAGGCGACACACUGGGCCAAUUACUGACGCUGAGGCGCGAAAGCGUGGGGAGCAAACAGG
rnacentral:rRNA from 1 species